GAUGAACGCUGGCGGCGUGCUUAACACAUGCAAGUCGAACGAAGCACCCCUCCCGAGGGUCGACACAGCUUGCAGUAGAUUGGAUCAUUUGCGGAGACUGAGUGUCGGACGGGUGAGUAACGCGUGGGUAAGCUGCCUCAUAGAGGGGGACAACAGUUGGAAGCGACUGCUAAUACCGCAUAGUAAGACUAAUUCGCAUGGUUUCUGCUUGAAAGAUUUAUCGCCAUUAGAUGGACCCGCGGCAGAUUAGCUAGUUGGUAGGGUAACGGCCUACCAAGGCGACGAUCCGUAGCUGGUCUGAGAGGAUGAUCAGCCACACUGGGACUGAGACACGGCCCAGACUCCUACGGGAGGCAGCAGUGGGGAAUAUUGCACAAUGGGGGAAAGCCUGAUGCAGCGACGCCGCGUGAGUGAAGAAGUACUUCGGUAUGUAAAGCUCUAUCACCAGGGAAGAUAAUGACGGUACCGGACGAAUAAGCCCCGGCUAACUACGUG
rnacentral:rRNA from 1 species